rnacentral:misc_RNA from 1 species
GAUGAAGAACGUAGCGAAAUGCGAUAAUUAAUGUGAAUUGCAGAAUUCCGUGAAUCAUCGAGUCUUUGAACGCACAUUGCGCCUCAUGGCAUUCCGUGAGGCAUGCCUGUCCGAGCGUCAUUGCUGCCCUCAAGCACGGCUUGUGUGUUGGGCCUCCGUCCUCCUCCCGGGGGACGGGCCCGAAAGGCAGCGGCGGCACCGCGUCCGGUCCUCGAGCGUAUGGGGCUUCGUCACCCGCUCUUGUAGGCCCGGCCGGCGCUUGCCGACACAUCAAUCUUUUUUCCAGGUUGACCUCGGAUCAGGUAGGGAUACCCGCUGAACUUAAGCAUAUCAAUAAGCGGAGGA